rnacentral:rRNA from 1 species
UACGUAGGGGGCAAGCGUUGUCCGGAAUCAUUGGGCGUAAAGCGCGUGUAGGCGGUUCGGUAAGUCUGCUGUGAAAGUCCAGGGCUCAACCCUGGGAUGCCGGUGGAUACUGUCGGACUAGAGUACGGAAGAGGCGAGUGGAAUUCCCGGUGUAGCGGUGAAAUGCGCAGAUAUCGGGAGGAACACCAAUUGCGAAGGCAGCUCGCCUGGGACGUUACGUGACGCUGAGACGCGAAAGCGUGGGGAGCAA